rnacentral:rRNA from 1 species
GAGGCGAUGAAGGGCGUGCUAAUCUGCGAUAAGCGUCGGUAAGGUGAUAUGAACCGCAACAACCGACGAUACCCGAAUGGGGAAACCCAGUGCAAUCCGUUGCACUAUCAUGUCAUGAAUACAUAGUGGCAUGAGGCGAACCGGGGGAACUGAAACAUCUAAGUACCCCGAGGAAAAGAAAUCAACCGAGAUUCCCCCAGUAGCGGCGAGCGAACGGGGAACAGCCCAGAACCUGAAUCAGUUUGUGCCUUAGUGGAAGCGUCUGGAAAGUCGCGCAGUAAAGGGUGACAGCCCCGUACACAAAAAGGCACUUGCUGUGAGUUCGAUGAGUAGGGCGGGACACGUGACAUCCUGUCUGAAUAUGGGGGGACCAUCCUCCAAGGCUAAAUACUCCUGACUGACCGAUAGUGAACCAGUACCGUGAGGGAAAGGCGAAAAGAACCCCGGCGAGGGGAGUGAAACAGAACCUGAAACCGUGUACGUACAAGCAGUGGGAGCACCUUCGUGGUGUGACUGCGUACCUUUUGUAUAAUGGGUCAGCGACUUAUAUUCUGUAGCAAGGUUAACCGUAUAGGGGAGCCGCAGGGAAACCGAGUCUUAACUGGGCGUUAAGUUGCAGGGUAUAGACCCGAAACCCGGUGAUCUAGCCAUGGGCAGGUUGAAGGUUGGGUAACACUAACUGGAGGACCGAACCGACUAAUGUUGAAAAAUUAGCGGAUGACCUGUGGCUGGGGGUGAAAGGCCAAUCAAACCGGGAGAUAGCUGGUUCUCCCCGAAAGCUAUUUAGGUAGCGCCUCGUGAACUCAUCUCCGGGGGUAGAGCACUGUUUCGGCUAGGGGGCCAUCCCGGCUUACCAACCCGAUGCAAACUGCGAAUACCGGAGAAUGUUAUCACGGGAGACACACGGCGGGUGCUAACGUCCGUCGUGAAGAGGGAAACAACCCAGACCGCCAGCUAAGGUCCCAAAGUCAUGGUUAAGUGGGAAACGAUGUGGGAAGGCACAGACAGCCAGGAUGUUGGCUUAGAAGCAGCCAUCAUUUAAAGAAAGCGUAAUAGCUCACUGGUCGAGUCGGCCUGCGCGGAAGAUGUAACGGGGCUAAACCAUGCACCGAAGCUGCGGCAGCGGACGUAUCACCCAAGCAGAUUCACUGAAGUGGAUAACGAUUGACGGAGCGCAGCGACGUCAAUGCGCCAUCAAAGUCGAGUCGACUUCGGGAUACGUCCGUUGGGUAGGGGAGCGUUCUGUAAGCCGUCGAAGGUGUGCUGUGAGGCAUGCUGGAGGUAUCAGAAGUGCGAAUGCUGACAUAAGUAACGAUAAAGCGGGUGAAAAGCCCGCUCGCCGGAAGACCAAGGGUUCCUGUCCAACGUUAAUCGGGGCAGGGUGAGUCGACCCCUAAGGCGAGGCCGAAAGGCGUAGUCGAUGGGAAACGGGUUAAUAUUCCCGUACUGGGUGUUACUGCGAAGGGGGGACGGAGAAGGCUAUGUUAGCCGGGCGACGGUUGUCCCGGUUUAAGCGUGCAGGCUUGAGUUCCAGGCAAAUCCGGAACUCUUUAAGGCUGAGGCGUGAUGACGAGGCACCACGGUGCUGAAGUAACAAAUGCCCUGCUUCCAGGAAAAGCCUCUAAGCAUCAGGUAACAUCCAAUCGUACCCCAAACCGACACAGGUGGUCAGGUAGAGAAUACCAAGGCGCUUGAGAGAACUCGGGUGAAGGAACUAGGCAAAAUGGUGCCGUAACUUCGGGAGAAGGCACGCUGGCGCGUAGGUGAAGCGACUUGCUCGUGGAGCUGAAGCCAGUCGAAGAUACCAGCUGGCUGCAACUGUUUAUUAAAAACACAGCACUGUGCAAACACGAAAGUGGACGUAUACGGUGUGACGCCUGCCCGGUGCCGGAAGGUUAAUUGAUGGGGUUAUCCGUAAGGAGAAGCUCUUGAUCGAAGCCCCGGUAAACGGCGGCCGUAACUAUAACGGUCCUAAGGUAGCGAAAUUCCUUGUCGGGUAAGUUCCGACCUGCACGAAUGGCGUAAUGAUGGCCAGGCUGUCUCCACCCGAGACUCAGUGAAAUUGAACUCGCUGUGAAGAUGCAGUGUACCCGCGGCAAGACGGAAAGACCCCGUGAACCUUUACUACAGCUUGACACUGAACAUUGAGCCUUGAUGUGUAGGAUAGGUGGGAGGCUUUGAAGCGUGGACGCCAGUCUGCGUGGAGCCAACCUUGAAAUACCACCCUUUAACGUUUGAUGUUCUAACCUGGCGCCGUAAUCCGGCGUGGGGACAGUGUCUGGUGGGUAGUUUGACUGGGGCGGUCUCCUCCCAAAGAGUAACGGAGGAGCACGAAGGUCAGCUAAUCACGGUCGGACAUCGUGAGGUUAGUGCAAUGGCAUAAGCUGGCUUGACUGCGAGAGUGACGGCUCGAGCAGGUGCGAAAGCAGGUCAUAGUGAUCCGGUGGUUCUGAAUGGAAGGGCCAUCGCUCAACGGAUAAAAGGUACUCCGGGGAUAACAGGCUGAUACCGCCCAAGAGUUCAUAUCGACGGCGGUGUUUGGCACCUCGAUGUCGGCUCAUCACAUCCUGGGGCUGAAGUAGGUCCCAAGGGUACGGCUGUUCGCCGUUUAAAGUGGUACGCGAGCUGGGUUUAGAACGUCGUGAGACAGUUCGGUCCCUAUCUGCCGUGGGCGCUGGAAGAUUGAGAGGGGUUGCUCCUAGUACGAGAGGACCGGAGUGAACGCACCGCUGGUGUUCGGGUUGUCAUGCCAAUGGCAUUGCCCGGUAGCUAAGUGCGGAAAAGAUAAGCGCUGAAAGCAUCUAAGCGCGAAACUUGCCUCGAGAUGAAUCUUCCCUGACUCCUUGAGAGUCCUGAAGGGACGUUGAAGACGACGACGUUGAUAGGCCGGGUGUGUAAGCGCAGCGAUGCGUUGAGCUAACCGGUACUAAUGACCCGUGAGGCUUAACCUUACAACGC